CAAUAGCGUAUAUUUAAGUUGUUGCAGUUAAAAAGCUCGUAGUUGGAUUUUGGGUCGGGGCGUCCGGUCCGCCGUUCCGGUGCGCACUGGGCGCCCCUUCCUUUCUGCCGGGGACCGCCUGGGGCUUUAAGUAGCUCGAGGCGGGAGUCGGCGUUGUUACUUUGAAAAAAUUAGAGUGUUCAAAGCAAGCCAUCGCUCUGAAUACAUUAGCAUGGAAUAACAUGAUAGGACUCCGCUCUUAUUUUGUUGGUUUCCGAGACUGGAGUAAUGAUUAAGAGGGACAGUCGGGGGCAUCCGUAUUUCAUUGUCAGAGGUGAAAUUCUUGGAUUUAUGAAAGACGAACUUCUGCGAAAGCAUUUGCCAAGGAUGUUUUCAUUAA
rnacentral:rRNA from 1 species